GUCAUACCCAUUUUUGUACAAUUCCUUUAAAGAUAAUUAAGCCAGGCCGUGGUGGUGCACGCCUUUAAUCCCAGCACCCAGCACGCAGAGGCAGGUGAAGCUCUGUGAGUUCAAGACCAGCCUGGUCUAAAGAGGGGGUUAGCCAGGGCUACACAGAGAAACCCUACCUUGAAGUGGGGGAAAUAACUAAUGGCUUAUCUGGGCAGAGUAAAAGGACCUUGGACUCGGUCUGGCUGGAUUCCAGCCCUGCUAUGACUGUCAGCAGCUGAUCAUCUCAGCCAUGUGACCUCUCUGGGACACAGCUGCUGUACCCUUGACCCUGCCCUGUUCAGUGCCUUCUGGUUUCAUCUUUUCCAUGGGCCUAAGAGGUAGUAAGACACUACCACUAACCCUGCUUCACAGAAGAACACGCAGCCUGAAUGCAGCUGACUGGACCAGUUGACCCUGUGGGACCUGUCUCUUCUCCAUUCAAGCCUAGAGAGUCCUCUAGGACUGAGCAGAAGGUCUCGUUGUUUGCAUAUUUCUCAUUGCAGGCUGUGCCACCCAAGGAGAAGCCUGUGUGAAUCAGUAUGAGUGCUAAGAUUCCAGGGAGUGUUUCUGUCUGACGCCUUCUUGGUUUACACAGAGUGACCUGGAUACUUGUUGCUUGAUCCUAUCUUUGCCUGAAGAAUUUUUAGGUGUGACUUUACUGUAUUCUUCGUUGCCUCUUCCUCCUCCUUCUCUUUUCCUUUGAAAUGCAGAUUCUGGUUUAGGCCUGACGUCUCCAGUGAGCACUCUAGGAAAAGAAAAUAUUCUGGUCUGCAGUUUACAGAGCUGCCAGUGACAUGGCUAACAAGUAAGAGCACCUACUGGGCAAGCCUGAUGACCUGAGUUUGAUCCUGGAAACCGGAGUAAAAGGUUGGAUGUGACGGUGCACCUCUGUAAUCCAGCCUCCUAUGUCAAGCCAAGACUGGGGUGAGUUCCGAGUCAAGGAACCUGAGAGCCAGAACCACACAGCGUGAAAGAAUGAGGAAAUGCCCUGGCUGUGAUUUGCUGUCUUGACCAACACAGCUAUUUGGAGAAACACCCAGUACUUGUUUCAGAUCUGCCUGACUCUUCACAACAUCCUGGAAGGAUCUACUGCUUUCUUAUGGCGAUUUGGUUGCGGAGGCUCAGAGGACUAUGUCUGAGACUUUGAAAACAAUGUCGCACUGGCCACUCCCUGAGAGUUUCCCUUGGCCAAGUUACUUUUCGUUCCUCUCCCUUUCCUGGGUUUUCUAAAUUCUCAUUCUAAAUUCUCAGGAAAACUUUUAUUUACUUGAGUAAGAUGAUAACUGUUAAGUAAUCUCAGCUUAGUUUUACAGAACCUUGACCUUCAUAAAACAAUAGAAUGUGUACAGCCAUUCCAUGUUCUUUGGUUCCAAGCAUCAGAUAACACAAAACAUGUAAGUUGCUAUGAUGUUUAACUUGUAGAAAAGUGGUAAAUUUGUUACUUGUUCUAGGAGGUUUGUCCCAGCCGCCUCCCACUUUUCCUUUCUUGUAAAAGCUGCUCAUUGGGCUGGAGAGGUAGCUUGGUGGGUAGAGUGCUUACUGCACAAAUAUGAGGUUGUGGUUCCCAGCACCCAUGUAAAAAGAUGGGGUGGUGGCACAUACCUGUAAUCCCAGCACUGGGGAGACAGAGAAAGGAGGAUCCCUGGGGUUUGCGGGCCAGCCAGACCAGCUGAAUUGGUGAGCACUUGGCAUCUACCUUUGUCCUCUGUGCCCCGCCCCCCCGACAUACAGACACACAGACAAAUACAGACAGACACACAGACACAAACACACACAGACACAAAGACACACACACACACACACAUAGACAUACAGACACAGACACAUACAGCCAUACACACAGACAAGCACAUACACAGACAUAGACACACAGAUAGACAGACAAACAUAUAGACACAUACAAAUACACAAACUUUGUGCUCCCAAGUUUUCUGAGAUGGGGCUCUGAUGAAAUAGGCCCCAAGUAGAUGCAGGAAGGUCGCAAAGGGCAGAGGUAAUUGCCAAGUGCGAUAGGCCUCAUCUCCUCGGGAUGUCAGUCUCUGAAUAAAACUGGUUUCCUUUUUUACCUGGUCUCCUCCCCCGGAGGAGGGCUAGCAGUUGGACAUGGGGUCAGUAACGGCAAGUUGUUGGGAGAAGGACUGGAUUUUUAAAUCUAUAUUUUCCUGAAGUUUGUUUUGUGGACUUGCUAGUUCCUGCCUCACAGAUCAGAGCUAAUUCACGCCCUUGACACAGACAGUAAGGAUAAGGCAGCACAGUUCAAUGAAUCAAAUUUUGAUUCCUGGUCAUCAACAUAACCUGGAAAUGUGUUAGAAAUGCCCAUUCUUGGCCUCAUCCCAGAGCGCUCUCUAAGAACAUCUAGGGGUUGGGUCCAUCUCAGGGACACAAAAUACAUAUAGCAUGUCCAAGUCCUACAUCAAAUACCCAGAACAAUAAUUUAAGAAAAAAAGAGACAUUCUUGGGGGAAGCUGGGAGUGUGGCUUUUGACUUCCAGCACCUUGGUUUUACCCACGAUCAUGGAAUUUUAAAAUUGUGGGCCUGGCCAAGCAAUCCACAAACCUGAUUACUUGACUUCAAUCCUUGCUUGAUAACUGGAUCCCAGAGUGGGAGGAGAGACCUUGUUCCUGGAUGUUGUCCCCUGACUUCCACACUAAAAAUAACAAAUAAAAAUAAAAAUAACCCAGGCAAGCUAA